rnacentral:rRNA from 1 species
AUUGAACGCUGGCGGCAUGCCUUACACAUGCAAGUCGAACGGCAGCACGGGAGCAAUCCUGGUGGCGAGUGGCGAACGGGUGAGUAAUGUAUCGGAACGUAUCUUUCAGUGGGGGAUAACGUAGCGAAAGUUACGCUAAUACCGCAUAUUCUGUGAGCAGGAAAGCAGGGGAUCGCAAGACCUUGCGCUGAUUGAGCGGCCGAUAUCAGAUUAGCUAGUUGGUGAGGUAAAGGCUCACCAAGGCGACGAUCUGUAGCGGGUCUGAGAGGAUGAUCCGCCACACUGGAACUGAGACACGGUCCAGACUCCUACGGGAGGCAGCAGUGGGGAAUUUUGGACAAUGGGCGCAAGCCUGAUCCAGCCAUGCCGCGUGAGUGAAGAAGGCC